CAUGCGGGCAGCGAGGGGGAGCUGUUCUCCACCCCGCCCCCCAUGGUGCACUCAGGCAGCGCCUGCACCCUGGACUCCAGUGUGGCCGGGGCUGAGGAGUCUGACCCCGGUGAGGACGCCGAGUCGCCCCCCUUCUGCCUGGCCAAGGAGCCGCUCUCCAUUGCUGACGAGAUCCUGGAGCUACUCAGCCAGCGGGGUCUGAGCAGGGAGCUGGGAACCGAGGAGACGCCCUGGGAGCAGGGGGACCCAGACCUUGGGAGUCCAGUUCCACAGCCGGAACAGGACCUGCCUUCGAACCCAGCCGCACUGGAAGAACUAGCCAAGGAAAGCAAAGUUCAAGAGGGAGAUGCCACUGGGCGAGAUGAGCUUCCAUCCAGUAGCCUAGGCAUGAUGCAGACCCCCCCACCACGCCAGCUCUCCAGCAGCGAAUCGGAGGAAGAAUCGAAGCAGGAUCGGGACCCUUCUCCUCUCUGUGUCCUUGAGGACCUGGGUGCAGAAGAGGCCCACGGCAAGCCACAAGGCCUGGCAGAGGAUAAAGCCAUGCGUACAGGGCGGGAGGCGUCAAGUGGGCACCUGGAUGGGGCCUGCCCUCCGCGCAGGGAUGGCUCAGGCCGGCUGGCCCUGCGCCCCUGCAGCCCGGCAGAUGUUGCCAAGCGGGACUCAACACUGACGCGAGACGACCGGCUGCUGAUCGAGAAGAUCAAGUUCUACUAUGAGGAGGGUGAGGCUGCCCCACACCCUGCCAGUGGGAUGCAGGACUGUGGGCUCCACCUCAGCCCACCCCUCCAGCAGGAGGGUGCUGCGGACCACGAGGGAGGUGGGGCUUGGUGGGCCAAGGCCCAUCCUGCCGUUCAGGAGGAGGCUGGGAAGGGGCGGAGCCAGCUAAUUGACCAACGCAACCAAUCUGGCACCAACCAAGAGGAUGCUGGGAAGGGGCGGAGCCAGCUCAUUGACCUAGGCACCCAGCCUGGUGCCAUCCAAGAGGAUGCUGGGAAGGUGGGGGGCCAACCCACCAGCCAUGCUGCCCCACCCCCCGAGAACCAGGAGCCUGAGUACAAGUCGUGUGCGGAGAUCCGGCGGGCCUGGCGGGAGAAGGAGCGGGGGGCAGUGCACACCCUGGGAUCCAGUGCCCCCCCGCAGGAAGCGGGGCAGCAAAGGGCCACCCACCACCCGUGAGCCUCCACCAUUCCUGGAGCCCUUGCGGAUUGUGGAGGAAUCGGAUCUGGCUGCCUCACCCCGGGGCAAUGGAGUCCCUUCUGCCAGCUACACCCCCCCACCAGGGUUAUACGAGGAUGGCACUCCUUGUCUGCUGGAGAACUCGGAGCGGAUCCUCAGUAAGGUGCAGGCCCUGGCACGGAUGUACAGCGAGAAGAUUGGCCAGGCCAAGGCAGCCCAGAGGGCGCAGGGAGGGCUGCGCCGCCCAGCACCCAGCCGGACCGGCACCCUUGAAAGCCUGCGGGAGGAGACGCUGGGGACCUUCCUCCCUCACUGCGAGCCCCGAAUCUAUGGCCAUGUGCUCAUCCGCGAGCCCCCCCUGCAUGUGAACUGUGUCCAGGAGAAUGUGCCGCUGGUGGCUGCUGCUCGAGGGACCGCCACGGAUCUGCGCAGCAAUCAGCCUCCAUCUCUCCUGGCCUCCCUGCGACAGGCCUCGUCCUUCACAGCAGAGCUAGGACCCGCCUGGCCGCAGAUUCCAAGCUCUGGCUCCCCAGGGGCUGUUCUGCUUCCCUCAGCGCAGCUGGAAUCGGCCAAGGAGUGCCCCCCAUCCCCAGAGAUAAGUGGGGAGCCCCUGAGACCAGAGGAGCCGGCUGGGGAAGAGCCCUGCACAGACAGCUCUCCUGCACCCAUUCCCCUCACCCGGAGUGGAUCCAGUAUGGCAGCCGAAGCCCCUGACUCCCAGAGAGCCGAGGGCCCAUCGGUGCCAGGUUGCCAAGCUGAGGCCAGGAGGGCAGAACCAAUGGCCCAUGGGCGACAGGGUGAGCUGAGCCAUGGGGAGGUUUCCGCAGAGGCAGCCAUGUCUCAUCCUUUGGGGGAAGUGGUGCUGAGCCAGCGGCGGCCAGAGCUGGACGGAGCAGCAGAGGAUCAGCAGCCUGUGCCAUCCAGCACCUCCGUGGUGUGUGCUGGCACAUCCACCGAGUCUGAUCUGCAGGAGCUGGGCUCCUCCAUCUCUAAGCCUAGUCCUGGGAAGCAGAGCCAGCCCAUUGCUGUCCUGCUUCCAGAGAAGCGGACCUCGGCUUUGGGCAGAGAUUCCCCACCUGCCACCAAUGAGUGGCUCCCAGAGCCAUUGCCGGGACCCGUCAGCCUCGGGACAAGAGAGGCAUCCCCACCUCCUGCACCCAGCCCCGUCCCGCCAGGAGCAGCGGAGCAUUUCAAGCCCACUCCUGCGCCCUCCAGUGCCACAGGCUUCCUACACCUGCUCCACAGCAACUUCCUGGUCCCAUCAGCUCUACCCUCCUCUGGCACCUGGCUUCCUUCCCAGCCCAGCCACCCCACAGCCCAGUCAGCUCCUACUUCUCCGCUAAGCCCCCACCGAGCUCUGCUGCACCGCCAGCCCUCCUCCCCAGCCUACCGGCGCAUCUCAUCCAGUGCUGCAGCCAUCUCCAGGUACAUCGCUGCCUCUUGCAUCAGCCAGAGCCUGGCUAAGAGAAAUGGUGCCCCCUUGGGGCCACCUGGUACCCAGCCUCCACCCACAGAGACCCCAGCCCCCACCCGGCCUCUGCCUCCUUGCUCAGCUGUUCCAAAAGUGACCCCCUCCCCCUUAGCACCACCCAGCACCCACCCUCUGCCCGUAGAGACGCCAGCUCCCACCCGGCCUCUGCCUCCUUGCUCAGCUGUCCCUAAGCCACCCCCCUGCCCCUUGGGGUCAGCUGCCACCCAGCCACUGCCGGCAGAGAACCUGGCCCCCACCCGGCCUCUGCCUCCUUGCUCAGCUGUCCCUAGGCCGCCCCCCUGCUCAUUGGGGUCAGCUGCCACCCAGCCUCUGCCUCCUUGCUCAGCCGUUCCUAGACCACCCCUCUGCCCCUUGGGCCCCAAAGCCCCAGCACCCCUGUCGGCUCCUGUCCCCAAUGAGAAGGCCAACAUCUUGUCCCAUUAUACCAACCAGAGGGACCCUUCCCGGCAUAGCCUCUGCUCUCUCCGCCCUUCCAGCCCUGGGUUGAUCUCUCCCCCAGGCUGUUGCCUUGAUGCCAGCUUGCUGGGGGAGCCCAUCCCCCUGGUGUCUGGCUCAGCCGUGCUACUGGCCUUUGAGCGCCUCUCGGGUGCGGCCCCCCAGGUUGAGCAGCCCUCCCUUUUCUCCUCCGCCUCAGAGCCCAGCUCCAGAGUCCAGUCCCCAGCACCAGCCUGCCCACGGAUGUGCUCCGCCCCUCCCUCCAGCUGGCACCUGGCUGUGGGGAGAGCCAGCCACACCCCCCAACGGCCCUGCUCCUUCGCCCCUGUGCUGCCCAGCUCCCACCCCUCUGUCACAUUACCUCAGAGAGGCAGGAGGCUGAGGGGAACCCUUGAGAAACCCCCAUCCCCCAGCGGUGGAGAGAGGGUGGGCGGCUGCUCUGGGGCACCCUGUACCGGCUCAGCCAGCCCCAGCCCAGAUGAACUGGAUGGUAUCAAGUGGCCGGACGUCCCCAACUUGCGUUCCCGGUACACGGGCUGGGAGGGUGAGGCAGGGCCACCGGGUUCACCAGAGGGGUACCGCAAAGCAAGAGCGGACCUGGCCCGGGACCUGGGCCCCCAUCGGGCCAGCUACUCCACCACUGUCAACAUCCAGAUCGGGGGAAGUGGCCGGAUUGCUUCCUUCAGCAACGCUCAGGUCAGCCUCACCCAACCGCUGCUGGCCGUGCCCGGCCAGCCCAGCAUCAGGCGCAUCAAUGGGAGCACCUUGGAGACCCCGCAGAAAACGUGACAGGUGGUGGGGCGGGGCAACCACAAGAUCCUGGCUCCGCACACGCCCAGCACCCAUGAUCAUACGGACAGUACAGCGGGGAAUUGUUCUUGAUGCACCGGAAUUGGCUGGUAUAGGGUCAAGGAGGCCAGAUUGUCCUAAAUUGGCACUUCUCUCUUGAUGCCAGCUGGGGAUCUGGGCGGAUGAGGCCAGCUGAACUCCAUCCAUCUGUGCCAUUCAGCAACUGCCUCCAUCUCCUCCCAGGCCAGGACUGAUCUGUGGGGCUGGGUCUGUAAAAGCCCUGUGUCCCCAGCCAGAUGGCUGCAGCAUCCACAAGCCAGCAAACAAAGCCUUCGCUCUCCUCUAUGCCUAUCCCUUUAGGGGGGCGAGCAACUGUUGGGGGUGGCUUUGAUUGGUUUUUUUAACUGUCUGGUUCAUCCUUCAGCUGGGUGGGCCUCAACCAGGACCAAAGUGAGCAGUGUCUGUACUCCUGCCUGCAUGCCCCCUUAUCCAAGCCAGCAUGCAUGUCUUCACAUGCACUCCCAGCCAGUAGGGGAUGGUGGAUUUGCACACCCAAACUCCCUCCCCCCCCCCAGCCGGCAGGGGGCAGUACAGACAAACAUAUUUAAAACUUGGGGCAGUUUCAUGCAACCCCCUCCCAUUGUGUGACUGGUUAAGUCAAUCUGCUCUGUGCCUCGUUUUCCCCCAUGGGGAGAAUAAUCAUUUUGAUCAUGGACUCUGGGACAGUGUCUGUCACUUGCUCUGUGCACAGUGUACAUGGGGGCCCUCCCCAACUGGGUGCUACCGUAAUUCAUCUAAUAUAAUCAUAAACUGCUGCUCUGGUGCAGUUUAUUCCCCACACCCUAAAAUGUGUGGAAGUGGACGUUGCUUUCUCUGGCCUCAACGAACUGUUAGUUGGCCCCAGGAUUGCAGUGUGCCAGAAACAAGGCAGUCAAAGUCACCUCUUUAUGAAGGCUAAAGGCACCUUAAGCAGAGAAAAUUUGCCCAUAAAAAUCACAGUGGACAAUCGGGUUGAAAAUUUUAUUUUUUAAGUGUUGGUGUCAAGAUCAACAUUGAAAUGAACAGUGCAAUGCCGGUCAAUCCCAUUGACACCAGUGGAGAGAUGACCUGUUUAAAUUAGGUGGAGAGCCGGGCCCUACAGAUUGGCAACUUCCAAUUGAUUCCAGAAUGGUUAUUUUUCCCUCCUCCUUGCACGUAGCCCACCCAUAACUCAAAACCACCACUCAGUUUCUUCCCAGCUUUCCCUGUAGCUGAGGACAGUGUGAUAUUCUAGUUGAUUUCUGACAAAUUCAAGAUGCAAAGCUAUAGUUUGUUUAAAUAUUACACUUGUAAAGACCUUCCAGACAGCAAUUCUGGGUUGUGAUUUGGACUAAACUUCUUGGAAUGUUUGAAUCCCUGCUCGUUUGCCUUGAAGUUAACAAAGGAAAAUUGUGUGUGUGUCUCCUUUCUCCAAAAGGGGAAACCAGGAAGAGGCUGGCUAUAAAAUGAGAGUAAUAAAAUAAAUACUGGCUCCUUAGAGAAGUGGUUACGGCUAUUUUGAGGGGAGGGAGGGUGCAGUUUGCAAUGAGUUUUUCUGCUUUGUUUCUAAAGCUGGAGCUGCAGAAUGGUAUAAGGAGAUUUAAAAUUGAAGCAGCAGGCAGAUAGAGUGCCCUGGUAUUUAACAUGGAGCCUUCCAGACAUAAUCAUUUAGCUACAUGUUUCUACAAAUUAUUUCACAGCCUGCAAUUGGGAAAAAAAAAUCUCUGGAGUUAUUAGCUACUGUACCACCAAUGAUGUAUUAGCUACAUGUUUGUGUCCAUUGGAGAUUAAAACUUUUUUUUCUCCGCGGAUGGCUGUGAGCAAUGCUAACCUUAAG
ensembl:lncRNA